rnacentral:rRNA from 1 species
UGGGGAAUAUUGCACAAUGGGCGCAAGCCUGAUGCAGCCAUGCCGCGUGUAUGAAGAAGGCCUUCGGGUUGUAAAGUACUUUUAGCGGGGAGGAAGGGAGUAAAGUUAAUACCUUUGCUCAUUGACGUUACCCGCAGAAGAAGCACCGGCUAACUCCGUGCCAGCAGCCGCGGUAAUACGGAGGGUGCAAGCGUUAAUCGGAAUUACUGGGCGUAAAGCGCACGCAGGCGGUUUGUCAAGUCGGAUGUGAAAUCCCCGGGCUCAACCUGGGAACUGCAUUCGAAACUGGCAGGCUAGAGUCUUGUAGAGGGGGGUAGAAUUCCAGGUGUAGCGGUGAAAUGCGUAGAGAUCUGGAGGAAUACCGGUGGCGAAGGCGGCCCCCUGGACAAAGACUGACGCUCAGGUGCGAAAGCGUGGGGAGCAAACAGG